rnacentral:tRNA from 1 species
UCCCCAGUGGCUCAGAUGGUAAAGAAUCUGCCUGCAAUACAGGAGACCCAGGUUCAACCCCUGGGUCGGGAG